GUCUACAGUCAUACCACCCUGCAGGCGCCCGAUCUAGUCUGAUCUCAGAAGGUAAGCAGGGUUGGGUUUGGUUAGCACUUGGAUGGGAGAAAGGAAGUUAGAAUGAAUUAAGAAGGGAGGACUAAUUUUAAAAAUA
rnacentral:rRNA from 1 species